GACGAACGCUGGCGGCGCGCUUAACACAUGCAAGUCGAGCGAGAACCGGGACUUCGGUCCCGGGGACAGCGGCGAACGGGUGAGUAACACGUGGGUAAUCUGCCCUCGAUUCUGGGAUAGCCCGGGGAAACCCGGAUUAAUACCGGAUAGCCUUUCGAGCCUUCGGGCGCGAAAGAAAAGGUAGCUUCGGCCUCCGAUCGAGGAUGAGCCCGCGGUGGAUUAGCUUGUUGGCGGGGUAAUGGCCCACCAAGGCGACGAUCCAUAGCUGGUCUGAGAGGACGAUCAGCCACACUGGGACUGAGACACGGCCCAGACUCCUACGGGAGGCAGCAGUGGGGAAUAUUGGACAAUGGGGGCAACCCUGAUCCAGCAAUGCCGCGUGUGUGAAGAAGGCCUGCGGGUUGUAAAGCACUUUCAGUCGGGAGGAGGAAUUGGCUGUUAAUAGCGGCCGAGGAAGACGUAACCGACAGAAGAAGCACCGGCUAACUCCGUG
rnacentral:rRNA from 1 species